rnacentral:rRNA from 1 species
UGAGGAAUAUUGGUCAAUGGGCGCAAGCCUGAACCAGCCAUCCCGCGUGCAGGAAGACGGCCCUAUGGGUUGUAAACUGCUUUUCCAGGGGGAGAAACUUGCGCACGUGUUGCGCAAUUGACGGUACCCUGGGAAUAAGCAUCGGCGAACUCCGUGCCAGCAGCCGAGGUAAUACGGAGGAUGCGAGCGUUAUCCGGAUUCAUUGGGGUUAAAGGGUGCGUAGGCGGACUAUUAAGUCAGUGGUGAAAUCCUGCAGCUUAACUGCAGAACUGCCAUUGAUACUGCUAGCCUUGAGUUUGGUUAAGGUAGGCGGAAUGUGUAAUGUAGCGGUGAAAUGCUUAGAUAUUACACAGAACACCAAUUGCGUAGGCAGCUUACUGAGCCGACACUGACGCUGAGGCACGAAAGCGUGGGGAUCGAACA